rnacentral:rRNA from 1 species
GGAAUAUUGCGCAAUGGGCGAAAGCCUGACGCAGCAACGCCGCGUGCAUGAAGAAGGCCUUCGGGUCGUAAAAUGCUUUUCUGGUCGAAGAGGAAGGACAGUAGUCCAGGAAUAAGGGUCGGCUAACUACGUGCCAGCAGCCGCGGUAAAACGUAGGACGCAAGCGUUAUCCGGAUUUACUGGGCGUAAAGCGCAGGCAGGCGGACGUGCAAGUUGGCUGUGAAAGCGCCCGGCUCAACUGGGCGAGGCCAGACAAAACUGCACGACUGGAGGACAGUAGAGGAACGUAGAAUUCCGGGUGGAGUGGUGAAAUGCGUAGAUAUCCGGAGGAAUACCAGAGGCGAAGGCGACGUUCUGGACUGUUCCUGACGCUGAGCUGCGAAAGCAUGGGUAGCGAAC